rnacentral:snRNA from 1 species
GGACGUGAGGGCGAUCUAGCUGUGACAUCUGUCACCCCAUUGAUUGCCAGGGUUGAUUCGGCUGAUCUGGCUGGCUAGGCGGGUGUCUCCUUCCUCCCUCACCACUCCAUGUGUGUCCCUCCCAAAGCUGCGCGCUCGGUCGAAGAGGACUACCAUCCCUGAUAGAGGAGGACCAUUCUUCUGUCAAGGGUAUAUGAGUAGCUGCGCUCCCCUGCUAGAACCUCCAAACAAGGUCACAGGACUUCUUGAUCGUUCCAUCAACAAAACAAUUAAUCAGGUCCCAGGAUCGAGUCUCGCAUCGGGCUCCCUG